rnacentral:rRNA from 1 species
AUUCCAGCUCCAAUAGCGUAUAUUAAAGUUGUUGCAGUUAAAAAGCUCGUAGUUGAACUUCUGGCGGAUGUUUUCGCUGGCUUCGGUCGCGUUAAUGUCUGUCAUCCGCUAGGGAACCUCGUUCGGUCUUCAUUGGUCGGCGGGAGGAUCUGGCAUUUUACUUUGAAAAAAUUAGAGUGUUCAAGGCAGGCAAUCGCCAUGAAUACACAAGCAUGGAAUAAUGGAAUAGGACUUAUGGUCAUUUUAUUGGUUAUUGACUGUAAGUAAUGAUUAAUAGGGACAGUUGGGGGCAUUAGUAUUUAAUUGUCAGAGGUGAAAUUCUUGGAUUUAUUAAAGACUAACUUAUGCGAAAGCAUUUGCCAAGGAUGUUUUCAUCG